CGGUAGUGUGGUAACAGGGAACCCAACAGGGGCAGGUGUAAUUGCAGGGUCAUGUAAUGUAAACAUUAAAGGAGUGGAUUUCUUGUGCUGGGGCAAUUGGAUCGACUCCAGGCCUUUAGCGACCAGGAGGAGAGUAUCCAUGGGAAUUAUCCUGAAUUCGGGACGGGACAGGACCAGGCCUUUCCUUAUAGGUUCUUUAAGGCCUGCAACGAAAGCGGCUGAUAGCAUCUGGGUGUGGGCCUUAUUACAUGUAUUGAAACCCAGAUCGGAAAAGGUUUGAGUUAACCUGGAAUGAAAUCUUUCAACCGUUUCUGAUUUUUCUUGAACAAUAUCAGCAAUAGAAGUAGCCUGAUCAGUCAACUUAUCUUGAGCCCAUGCACGGAGUUGUUCACAAAAUGUGAUACCAGACUGAUAAUCCGUGUCUGUAGUGAGACGGGCAUCAUCAAAGCUCUUUUCCAUUAUGGGCCAGUAAGCAUCCCCUGCCUUAAUUUCACACAGACUAAACAAAUCACGCCAUGCUGCAGAGUAAGUU